GAAAGAAAUGUUAGCAAUGUUUAGGCAGAUAUAACAAGUAAAUCUUUGGAUAGUAAAUAUAGUAAACACAGCACAACUUUCUCAUAAUUGUAGGAAUAUCCUUUUCAGGACAGCUAACUAUGGAAAGUACAAACAAAAGUGCCAAAGUUUCUUCACAGUGUUGAACUGGAUUUGGUUUGGUGGGUUCUUUUUCAAGCCUAUAUAUAGUACAAGUUUUGCAGCCCAUUUCAACGAGUCACAGACAGAAGAAAAUGGCAGUAAACAAGAAGAGAAAGAAAGCAAUGCAUAGCAUUUCUUCUUCUGAUUUCAGAGAAAAGAAAAGAUCGCUGUUCAUGGCACAAAUUCAAGAGAACUUCUAGCCUGUAUAAGCAAUGAAUGAAUUCAGGGGAGGAUACAACUGGAGAAGCCAGAAUUCUGUAGUGGCAUAAAACCCUCUGAAUGAUUAUCCUUUUCCUAUGUUCAUUCAUCAGGCUAAUUACAAAGGCAGUAGAAUUCAUUUAAUUAAUGUAUCCUUAUAGUCUUUUACAUAGACUUGGUGUCCAAUUAGGUUUCUUGAAUUGUAACCCUUUUUUUUUUUUUUUAAAGAUUGUAAUUUCUCGAAGUUUUUUUUCUAUUUCUCUUCAUA